UACGUAGGGGGCUAGCGUUGUCCGGAAUCAUUGGGCGUAAAGAGCGCGUAGGCGGCUAGAUAAGUCCGGUGUGAAAGUCACAGGCUCAACCUGUGAAUGCCGCUGGAAACUGUCUGGCUAGAGUCCGGAAGGGGCGAGUGGAAUUCCUGGUGUAGCGGUGAAAUGCGCAGAUAUCAGGAAGAACACCCGUGGCGAAGGCGGCUCUCUGGGACGGUACUGACGCUGAGACGCGAAAGCGUGGGGAGCAAACAGG
rnacentral:rRNA from 1 species